rnacentral:rRNA from 1 species
CACAUCGGAACGUACCCAGUCGAGGGGGAUAACCAGUCGAAAGAUUGGCUAAUACCGCAUACGCUGGAGACAGGAAAGCUGGGGACCCUGAAAGGGGCCUGGCGCGAUUGGAGCGGCCGAUGUCUGAUUAGCUAGUUGGUGGGGUAAAGGCCCACCAAGGCGACGAUCAGUAGCUGGUCUGAGAGGAUGAUCAGCCACACUGGGACUGAGACACGGCCCAG